rnacentral:rRNA from 1 species
UACGGGGGGAGCAAGCGUUGUUCGGAUUUACUGGGCGUAAAGGGCGCGUAGGCGGCCACUGCAAGUCAGUUGUGAAAUCUCCGGGCUUAACCCGGAAAGGUCAGCUGAUACUGCAGGGCUAGAGUGCAGAAGGGGCAACUGGAAUUCUCGGUGUAGCGGUGAAAUGCGUAGAUAUCGAGAGGAACACCUGCGGCGAAGGCGGGUUGCUGGGCUGACACUGACGCUGACAGCGCGAAAGCCAGGGGAGCAAACGGG